GUAUAAAAGUUAACAUUUUCUUGAUACAAGUUGUUCAUGAAGCCAAAGCGCAACCUAACUAAAACGCGCUCUGAAUCGCUACCCUGAACGUCUGUCUUUAAAAAAGGAAGGGAGAGGCCGGAAAGCAGGCCGGGAAACCCGGGAAAAUCAGGGACGCUCGAGUCACUCUGUGACACAUGGUUUUUCCACUUCUCGAUCAUUCCCCUCAAGUUUUUCAUAAUGUAACCCUGUCUGUGGCUAGAACCAGACUGCUUGGCGCCUUCAAUCCUUCAAUUGGUCAGCCCGGGAAAAGACGGAAGGCAACCCUGGAGGCCAGACUCCAAGUCUCAAGGGUGGGUUGAGCGGUUUGCCACCCCUGGAUCGGUUUGCCCCAGAUAUUGAUCGGCCCCUUCCUGUUUCUCAGCCUCAACGACCUCACCCUGACCUCGUGGUGGCCUCCCUCUUUCCCUCCCUCCUUCCUUCAGUUAGCACUUGAGCCACUCCUCCCCACUGACAAAUUCUGAUAUGUUGUCUCAGUUGGAGGUCUUUGGUCUCAUGACCUUUGGUUCCUCAAUCUGAACGGGAUUUGAGGCGGCUUCCGAAGAAGAUGAGGAUGGAGGCUCGUCAAUGCCACCUUGCAAUAAGUCAUUGGACAAGACCUUAAAAUUGAUGGCGUCCGGGUCUCCCAGGCCUAAGAAAACAUUUUUAGAAUCAUGACUCAUAUAAAUUUGUGGUUUGAUCUAUUUUGGGCAUGUGUUUCUAAUCCGUUUUUUAUAGAGCAGCCAAGCAUUUUUUUUGUUAAGUAAUGUGAUUUAUGUUCUUCUGAAUCCAUCUCAAAAAAAUGAAUCUAGCGCCAUCUAGUUUUUUGUAAUUGAGAUAUGCCUGAACAAUCUCAAUAGUAUUUUUUGUCCCAAUUAUGAAUGGAAAAGAGUCGAUCGAAUUCUCACCAUUAUGAAUCCCAAGUCCCAUAACCGCCACCGGCGACAUCUUAAGUACUCUCGCCACGCGUUGUUGAACUUCAUAAAACAUGUAUUCGUCGUAAAGGAGUCGAAUCAGAUGGAAGGAUCCAAAACUUUCCGCCGAUCUCAAAGUCAAAUCUCGGACCACAAUACAGCUAUUGAAGAAUAAAAAUUGGGUGAA